GCGGAUGUGGCGGAAUUGGUAGACGCACUGGAUUUAGGUUCCAGCGGGCUUAGCCCGUGAGAGUUCGAGUCUCUUCGUCCGCACCA
rnacentral:tRNA from 1 species